rnacentral:rRNA from 1 species
GUGAACGCUGGCGGUAGGCCUAACACCUGCAAGUCGCACGGCGGCACAGUAAGAGCUUGCUCUUACGGGUGGCGAGUGGCGGACGGGUGAGGAAUACAUCGGAAUCUACUUUUUCGUGGGGGAUAACGUAGGGAAACUUACGCUAAUACCGCAUACGACCUACGGGUGAAAGCAGGGGAUCUUCGGACCUUGCGCGAUUGAAUGAGCCGAUGUCGGAUUAGCUAGUUGGCGGGGUAAAGGCCCACCAAGGCGACGAUCCGUAGCUGGUCUGAGAGGAUGAUCAGCCACACUGGAACUGAGACACGGUCCAGACUCCUACGGGAGGCAGCAGUGGGGAAUAUUGGACAAUGGGCGCAAGCCUGAUCCAGCCAUACCGCGUGGGUGAAGAAGGCCUUCGGGUUGUAAAGCCCUUUUGUUGGGAAAGAAAAGCAGCAGGUUAAUACCCCGCUGUUCUGACGGUACCCAAAGAAUAAGCACCGGCUAACUUCGUG